UCAGUAUUGAACGUGUCACUAAAGAAGAUGAAGGAGUGUACUUCUGUGCAGCGGCUGGAGAGACAACAAUUAAGUUUUCUAAUGCUACAUUCUUAUCUGUCACAGGGCAGUCAAUCAUAUCAGUGCUCCAAACUCCAGUACAGGGGUCAGUUUCUCCUGGAGAGUCGGUCACUGGGAAUGGAAAAGCAGUAGAACUGAAUCCUCCAAUGCAUCAUCUGCAUGUGCUGGUUGUUGUCAUGGGAGUGGCACUGGGCUUGAGUUUAAUGUGGA